rnacentral:rRNA from 1 species
ACAGAGGGUGCAAACGUUGUUCGGAAUUACUGGGCGUAAAGCGCGUGUAGGCUGCUCGGAAAGUCGGAUGUGAAAGCCCUGGGCUCAACCUAGGAAGUGCAUUCGAAACUUCUGAGCUUGAGUAUCGGAGAGGGUCGCGGAAUUCUCGGUGUAGAGGUGAAAUUCGUAGAUAUCGAGAGGAACACCGGUGGCGAAGGCGGCGACCUGGACGAAAACUGACGCUGAGACGCGAAAGCGUGGGGAGCAAACAGGA